CAGGCUCCGAGCUGAGUCUCCGUGAUUGGACAAUACUGGCUCAAUUCCACCAAUCAUAUCGCCCACACCGUGACGGUGGGCCGUCCCUGAAACCCGCGUCCUACAGGCUUGUUAGUGAGCGUAGACGACCGCUUUGCGUGUUGAUUGGACAAACUGAACGUCCAUCAGGGUCACGCAGAAGGGCAAUGAGAGGCGCGACGACAGGAAGACGACUUUCCUCUGAGGGCAAUCGAAGCCUACAGGGAUACUCCAGGAUGACAGGAUCGGCGCUGGGCGGGGCUUCUGCCGCCCGCGGCACGCCGGGAAGGAGUCUCUUCCCGACACAGGUUCCGGUUCCGUUGGCGGCGGCUGAUUGCUACGGUAACGCGGCGGGUAGUCUUGCUAUAGCGAGGACCAGAGAAGUGGUGGGUGGGCCUCCGCGUCUCGGCAGCUGAGGUGAGCCGCGAACCUGGCGCGUCCAGCCCUGUCCGGGGCUGCAGCCUCGAACUCGGCCUCAUGUCCAGUCCUGCCUGGGGGGCUCCUGCCUCGGACCCGUCGUGCACGUGGACGGCCAAGCCGGGUCCUGCCUCGCGUGGGAUUCCUUCUCCAGAAUUUUUAGCAUGAAAUAGAAUUAUGUGUAUGUAUGAUGUGCGUGCAUGCCCCUGCCACAGCGUGGGAGUGGAAGUCAGACGACAAUUUUGUGUAGUCAGGUCCCUCCUCCCGCCUUUUACAAGGGGUCCAGGGAUAGAACUGGGCUUGCCGGGACAUGGAUCCUGAUUCUGGCCAGCAGGACUCGGUGGCGUGCUACCUGAUCUGUAGUCUUGGACCUGCACUGGGUUGAUGGUACCCGAGAGCACACCAGACUUGCAGAAAAAGCAUACUCCAGAGGAAGCUGAGGCAUGCCUGCUCAAGAGCCAGCGGUUCCAUGUGCAAUGUUCCUCUGAUAGGUCCUGGGUACUGUUGCCACGGUGAUGAUGGCUCUGCCAUGCCAUUGUCGAUCCACCAACAGUCAGAGAAGCUUUGCAGUCAAGAUAUUGUUUAGCAGACGGAGUGGUUUCUGUUGGACACUUAAGUACUGCUACACAACCUCAAGUUACUAAGAAUGUUGCUGGAGGUGACCUGUUUUCGUCUGGGGAGUAAAUGUAAAAGCAGAAAGUGCACACAAGUCAUCAGUGGAGUCUACUAAAUCAUGGCUCAGCGGGAAACCUGAGCCAAGUAAACUGUGAAGACAGAUGGGGACAUUGCCCUGCCUCUUCCUUGUCAGUCAGUGUUGUGGAUGCUUGCUCUUUUUUCUAAUGACAAGCCUGAAGUUCAAAUCUUUUUAUUUUGCAGACCCUUUGAUCCCAGACACCAUACAAAGACAUACACAAGAAAUACUGGAAUGAAACCGCUGCUAUGAAAGUCAGUCUGUACCCUCAGCAGCAGCAGAGAAUCUGUUGAAUUGCCUCCAGAAACGGCAUGCCAUUUGUAAUUUUACUUUUAAAAAUGAAAUAAAUAAAGACUGACAAUUUGCUUGUAGGAA